CAGCCACGAGCUCCCCCUUUCCCAUGGGAAACCAUUCCCUGUCCUUCCCACACUCUGCACUGGGACACUUUUAGCCCAUCACCUUCCCUUCCAUAACAGCAAGCACCAGCGGCAGGGUGGGAUGUGGAUGCCGGUCCCCUGCCUGCCCUGCCUUCCCUGCCCACGAAGGGUUACAGCCAGCCCGGAUUGCUCCGAUUUCACCCUUCCAUCUGCUGCUGGCCUUUUUGGCAGGAGCCCCGCAGCGGGAAGGGGAAGGCAACUGGAGCACCCCAGGGUCAGCGCUGGGAGCGGCUCGAGGUGGGUGUCACCUUCCUGGAGCGUCCCUAACCUGGUGGGGACCCCGGCCGAGGGCACCGAGCUGCGAGGAGGGGCCCUCGGAGCCGGAGAGCGCUGGCGGUGGGGCGAUGCCUGCGGACGGGACCCGCCGAGGAGGGCUGCCGCGGCCAGUGGAGCCAAAUUUGGUGGCUGGGGGUGGGGGGGCGGCAGGGUGUGACGGGUCACCCUGGCAGAGGCUGAGACUCCUCCUCUGCGGGGAGGAGGACAAAGGAUGGAAGCGGCUGCCCCGUUGCAACACAUCCCCGGCGAGCACAAUGGAAAUGCCAUCCUCCGUCUUGUGAAACAGGAACCUCAUAUGAUCUCGCUGAAGGCUUGGGGACACUCUUGUAGGUCUGAGCGUGACGCUCCCCGGGUUCCUUUUUCUACCCGCAGGGGGAUAGGGAGAGUAGGGAGUCCCCCAGAGCAUCCCUGCCCUGGUGAGGACCGAACUGCCACCACAGUCCCCUGUGACACGCUGGACCCGCUGACAGGAGGAAGAUGAUGCUCUGCCACUCACCCUGGGGCCAAAACACCCCCGGGUUCUCCCCAGCCCCACCAAAACACCGUUGUACGGUUCCCCCACAGCCCUGCUGAGCAUCUCCCUCCCACCCUCCUCGAGGACUCCUAAAUAAACUUCGUUCUCCCUUCAUGUUCUUGACCCCAGAUUUAAUUAGCCCCCCGUUUCCUGCCUAUAUGAAAAAUCACUUCCCCGAGCAGGUGGCUGCGAUGCCGCGGGGGCUGUUGUUGUUUUCUUUGGGGAAAGGUGGUAAAUGGGGGGAAGAGUUUGUUGUUUAUUUUUAUAUUUACAAAGCGCAGCUUUUUCCUGGUGCCGGGCAUCGGAAGAGUGGCAGGAUGUGACCUUCAUCCAUCCCCUCGUCGCUCACACAAUGCGGCCGCGAGCACCGCGGGCCGCCGCCGGCUUUGUCCCCCCGCGGCCGGCGGGCACCUCCCGCGCCGCCCCGCCGGCACCUGGCUGCCCCCCAGCUGGGCCCCGCCGCUCACACGGGGAGAAAAAGGAAAAUAGAAAACAAAAAAAUAAAAAAAAAAGGGGAAAAAAUAAUAGCAAGGUUGCCG
rnacentral:lncRNA from 1 species